rnacentral:rRNA from 1 species
AGUGAACGCUGGCGGUAGGCCUAACACAUGCAAGUCGAACGGCAGCACAGUAAGAGCUUGCUCUUACGGGUGGCGAGUGGCGGACGGGUGAGGAAUACAUCGGAAUCUACUUUUUCGUGGGGGAUAACGUAGGGAAACUUACGCUAAUACCGCAUACGACCUACGGGUGAAAGCAGGGGAUCUUCGGACCUUGCGCGAUUGAAUGAGCCGAUGUCGGAUUAGCUAGUUGGCGGGGUAAAGGCCCACCAAGGCGACGAUCCGUAGCUGGUCUGAGAGGAUGAUCAGCCACACUAGAACUGGGACACGGUCCAGACUACUGCGGGAGGCAGCAGUGGGGAAUAUUGGACAAUGGGCGCAAGCCUGAUCCAGCCAUACCGCGUGGGUGAAGAAGGCCUUCGGGUUGUAAAGCCCUUUUGUUGGGAAAGAAAAGCAGCAGGUUAAUACCCCGCUGUUCUGACGGUACCCAAAGAAUAAGCACCGGCUAACUUCGUG